UCUAAUAUGGCAGAUUAGUGCAAUAGAUUUAAGACCUUUAAAUAAAGUAAAAUUUUAUUAGAA
rnacentral:tRNA from 2 species